CUAUAAUGCAAGUCGAGCGGACAGAUGGGAGCUUGCUCCCUGAUGUUAGCGGCGGACGGGUGAGUAACACGUGGGUAACCUGCCUGUAAGACUGGGAUAACUCCGGGAAACCGGGGCUAAUACCGGAUGCUUGAUUGAACCGCAUGGUUCAAUUAUAAAAGGUGGCUUUUAGCUACCACUUACAGAUGGACCCGCGGCGCAUUAGCUAGUUGGUGAGGUAACGGCUCACCAAGGCAACGAUGCGUAGCCGACCUGAGAGGGUGAUCGGCCACACUGGGACUGAGACACGGCCCAGACUCCUACGGGAGGCAGCAGUAGGGAAUCUUCCGCAAUGGACGAAAGUCUGACGGAGCAACGCCGCGUGAGUGAUGAAGGUUUUCGGAUCGUAAAACUCUGUUGUUAGGGAAGAACAAGUACCGUUCGAAUAGGGCGGUACCUUGACGGUACCUAACCAGAAAGCCACGGCUAACUACGUGCCAGCAGCCGCGGUAAUACGUAGGUGGCAAGCGUUGUCCGGAAUUAUUGGGCGUAAAGCGCGCGCAGGCGGUUUCUUAAGUCUGAUGUGAAAGCCCCCGGCUCAACCGGGGAGGGUCAUUGGAAACUGGGGAACUUGAGUGCAGAAGAGGAGAGUGGAAUUCCACGUGUAGCGGUGAAAUGGCGUAGAA
rnacentral:rRNA from 1 species